GGAAAGGUCAACAGAGUGCUUUCUGUCUGAAUUUUAGGAUGUGUUUCUUGUGGAAGUGUUUGUCUGCACAUCUGUGACAGAGCUGAGCAAUCAUUCUGGCCUCAGCUUAGGAAGGGAAGUAUCCCUGCUUGGGACAGCCUUUGGAACUUACACAUCUCAAAUUAAGCAAGCACUUCAAAUGCUGCACAAGAUAGGGCACAUUCCUUAUUUAGAUUCUGCUUAUCACUUCUCCUGUUGUUACUGGCCUUGCUACAUUCUUCAUAAUGCCAGCAAUCUAUAUUUUUGAUUAAAAAUAUAUAUAUAGUAUCAGAUAUACAAACCUAUAAACUGGUUAUUUGUACUGAAGCUGUGAACUUCCUCUUUCAGUUUCCUGUUCUAAUAACUUCAUGUCUUUAGAAUUAAAACUGUGACAAGCAGUAGUGCCUCUCAUCUUUCUCAUGCAUUGGCCAUCCUUCCCAGUUUACGAGACGUCUGUUGCUUUCUUCAGAUGAGUCCAUCUUCUGAAGGUCAUGAUUUUCCUCCAUUGAGCUUACACCUUGGCUUUAUAGCUCGUACAUGCAAGAAAUAGAAGCAGAUUUGCAGGAGGUACCAGUAGUUACAUAAGUUCUUCCUAUUCUUUGAACGUAACCCAUCAAACAAUCAGAGCAGCAGCACAGUGCUCAAGAUGCUGUGACAGUCCUCUGGAGUUGUCUGCCUCGUUCUGCAAGCCAGCCUGUUGUCUGAAGCUCAGGACCUCGAUACAUGCCUUCUCAAAGCUGGACUUCCAGUGCAGCCAUCAUGGGAGCAGUAUUCAGCUAGAGCACGGGGAUCAGUAUGCUGUCAACAUCCACCUCAUCAUUGUAAAUGCACACAGCCCCAAAAAGAAAAUGAGCAAAUAUUUCCUACGGUAAGUGUGAAAUCUCAGCCCUUGCUGGGUCCUUUCAUAUGAUUUUUUUCUGCAGUUAUUAAGCUGAGCACAUGAAAAAAAAAAACAAAACACAUUUGUUGGCAGUUUUUUCCAGGGGCCUUACUGGAGUUGCAUUUGGUAGCCAUUGUUACACAGAAUUGGUAAGUCAGUGGGUGGUUUGGUUAACCUUCACUUCAAAGCUCUCAAGAGCUGAUUUCCUAGCAGUUAAAAUUAUCUGAACUGAAAAGGAAAAUAUUUGUAACUUCUCAAUCCUCACCCUACUGAACUGCUUCAUAGAAGCGGCAGUUCUGUUAAAACCAUGUUUUAAAAAAAGAAAAAAAUAAUCUUAUUUUGGUACCUCUUUGGUGUGUCUUUUUAAAAUUGCAUUGACACGUUGUUCAAACCUGCAUUUAGUCCCACGUUGAUAAUACAAUGAAAGUAGUUCCUCCCAGGCAGAUACUUCUAUUCUUCAGAGUGUAGGAGUGAAAGUAGCCUCUUGGCC
rnacentral:lncRNA from 1 species